GGGCAGAAGCCAAAAGGAGAUGAGGAUCAUGAACAGAACUCCAUAAUUAAACAGCACGUCUUGAAUGGACGUCCAACAGCCUCUGCUCUUCUCCCUGACCUCAGACAUCACCCUGCAGUGGCUCAUCCAGCACUCCAAGUCGCGGAGAAGCUGAAGCUGAGGAGUUGAUGGUUGAAAAGCCCCUCUUCCCUCCACAACCGACCGACAAACCAAUCCCCCCCUCCCCCCUUUCCCUCCAGCCCAACUCAACGGUCGUCGCUCCCUCAUACAGUCAUCCUCUCCAAUGCCUCUGUGAAGUAAUCCAGCUCUCCACUCACUACCAAACCACGCACCACGCACCACCACCACCACCACCUGCCCCUCACCAUAAAUGUGUAAUAUCGCGUUCCGUCACGCAAACAGUCCGUGGGGCUCCUUUCUUUUCUGCUCGUUACUAGUGCUAAACGGUGGAUCUGUCGUUUGUAACGCAUCCCGUCCUCAGAGCCCCUCCGUGUCCUUGUCAUUGUUGGGUUUAUUUUGCAGCGGGUUCACGUGGGUUACAAUGUCUUCAACCCAGAAACCUUUGCAAGCAGACAGUAUGACUCUGGUUGCAUUUUAUGGCAGACAUCGUUGUUAUGUCAUGGUAGUGUGGGUUGGCUUGACAGUCUGACUGUACUUUUAUUUGCCAAAUAAUGAUUGUCGGCUUGCAUUCGUAUUCAAUUCUCUAGUACCUUGGGGCAAAUUCCUUUUGUUUUGUUGCUGGCAUAUGACCGAAUGUUUUCUAUGUGUCUUAAAAUCAAGUGUUUACAGAAAAGAUCAGAUGGCAAUUUUGUGAAUGGAUGAAAGGUUGUCAUAGCUAGAAACCCUAAGACAGGCCAGCAUAGUUUUAAGUGCCUUUUGCUCAGUAAGUAUUCUCCAAAAGAUGGAUACCUGAAUAUGUUUGCCUGAGGAUUACGUCCACCUCUCACCUGUUCUCCUGAUUCACUUCAAUAGUACAAACGAUAUUCAAUCCUGAUGUAUACACAAUGCUGAUCAACGAACCCAGUUCACAUGAUGAUAUCCUACAAAUGCAACUGAAGAUACUACAAUGACAAAGUAAAUGGGCUCCUGUAGAGGACCAUCUCAAGGAAGGAGAUUGAUAUUACAUUUGUAAAUGGGUCGAGGGUAGUUUUGAAUGUUAUUUCACUGUCGCCGUUUCUAUUGUCGCUUGAUAAUAUAUUUAGUCACGCUUGCCACUCGCUGAUUGCAAUAUGUUUACUAACGUUAUCACUAUAUGAUACGAUUUUCAAAUGCACAAUACCGGCUUGAGAGUGUAGUCCAGUGUGGGUCAGCGUGGCUCAUGUUGUGGUCGCUGCGUUACUCCAGUACAAGAUCUGGACGCUUGCAAAUCCAUUGAUGUCCCCUCAUCUCUUUUCAAUCAUGAACUCUUCUACAAAGCCUUAGCAAUCCAAGGGAGGUUGAGGCUGUGCGCUCCGACCAUACGAAACAAGUUCAAUCCUUUCUACGGGAUAAAGACUGCGACUAUCAUUGAUUUAUGAACAGUUCAGCCUCUUCUUAUGACGGGUGAUGACGUUUGCGUCGUGUGUGUAAUAUAUAUCUUAUCUGCAGCAGUUGAUUCGGUCGGUUUGAUUGUCCUUUUUGUGUUUUCUAAUGUGCUUCUUCAUCUCUGCCCAAUUGUCUUCCUUGGUCUUUCGAACUAAAAUCACUUCAUCUUCUCUUGUAAUGUCUCUUGUUUGUUCUGUUUUCUUUCCUGUCUAUGACCCUUGCAAUCUUGAGUGUUCAGCAGUUUCGCUGCUGUAAGUGGCUUUAAAACCAGGAGCCUGUAUAGGUUAAUAGGGUAAAGCUUUGUUACCUUUUGUAAUAUAAUAUAUCUAUUAUAUAAUAUAUAUACCCACACAACCAUAGCUUAUUUGCAAUUUGUAUGUGCAUGUGCUUUGUUAUCCACAUUCAAUUAGCAGAAUUUGUAAAUAAGAGAUUAGCCUUUUUAUUCAGAUUGAUUUUCGUAGAUGUUUUGCAUAAUUUCCUUGUGAUUGCUAAUAAAUUUAUUUUAUUUUUGAUCAGAUAUUUGUUGCGCAUGAGUAAACAUGUUAAUUCAUUUCUUACCAGUAGGUGGCGGCAUAGGACUUUAAAAGUAUGGAUUGGUAAGCAGUGAAUAAUACCUGAG
ensembl:lncRNA